AAUCAACUACUUUAACAUGUUACUGUCUUUCAAUAAAUUUUUUCUCAGGAAACCACAGAAGGAACUAAAAUCAAGAUAGCUAUGACUGAACCAAAGCUCUUUCAAAAUCAUUUACAAACUUCAUACUAUAACCAAAAAGAAAACAUUAA